GGGCCGGUCGUCUAGCUUGGUAGGACGCCGCUCUCACACGGCGGAGGUCGUGGGUUCAAGUCCCUCCCGGCCCA
rnacentral:tRNA from 1 species